GCGGGUUUAAUCGGACUCAACGGCUGGGAAACUCACCAGAAUAAGACAGCUGAAUGAUAGUCGGGCUGAAGACUCUACUUGACUAGCUGAGAGGAGGUGCAUGGCCGUCGUCAGUUCGUACUGUGAAGCAUCCUGUUAAGUCAGGCAACGAGCGAGACCCACGCCAACAGUUGCCAGCUCGUCCUCCGGGAUGGUGGGGGACACUGUUGGGACCGCUCUGCUAAAGAGGAGGAAGGAAUGGGCAACGGUAGGUCAGCAUGCCCCGAAUUAUCUGGGCUACACGCGGGCUACAAUGGGUGGGACAAUGGGUAUCGACACCGGAAAGGUGAAGGCAAUCUCCUAAACCCAUCCGUAGUUCGGAUUGUGGGCUGCAACUCGCCCACAUGAAGCUGGAAUCUGUAGUAAUCGUGUCUCAAAAUGGCACGGUGAAUAUGUCCCUGCUCCUU
rnacentral:rRNA from 1 species